GCGGCGUGCCUAAUACAUGCAAGUCGAGCGAACAGACGAGGAGCUUGCUCCUUUGACGUUAGCGGCGGACGGGUGAGUAACACGUAGGUAACCUACCUAUAAGACUGGGAUAACUUCGGGAAACCGGAGCUAAUACCGGAUAAUAUUUCGAACCGCAUGGUUCGAUAGUGAAAGAUGGCUUUGCUAUCACUUAUAGAUGGACCUGCGCCGUAUUAGCUAGUUGGUAAGGUAACGGGCUUACCAAGGCAACUGAUACGUAGCCGACCUGAGAGGGUGAUCGGCCACACUUGGAACUGAGACACGGUCCAGACUCCUACGGGAGGCAGCAGUAGGGAAUCUUCCGCAAUGGGCGAAAGCCUGACGGAGCAACGCCGCGUGAGUGAUGAAGGUCUUCGGAUCGUAAAACUCUGUUAUUAGGGAAGAACAAACGUGUAAGUAACUGUGCCGUCUUGACGGUC
rnacentral:rRNA from 1 species